GGCAGAUAGAUCUUGACCUGAUAAACAAUAUUACCCCCAUGUCAGAUUUGCUCUAAAUGCUUUGGUUUUUGAGUUAUAAGCCAAAAACUGCAUUUGACCCCUAUGUUCUAUUUUUAGCAAUGGCGACCAUGUUUGUUGAUAGAUCAUAACUUCGGAUACAAUUUACAAACUAGAUACCCUAAGGAACAUUCAAUUAAAGUUUGGAAGUAUUUGGCCAAGUAGUUUCAGAGGAGAAGAUUUUUGUAAAAGAUUACUAAGAUUUACGAAAAAUGGUUAAAAAUCGACUAUAAAGGGCAAUAACUCCUAAAGGGGUCAACUGACCAUUUCCGUCAUGUUGACUUAUUUGUAAAUCUUACUUUGCUGAAAAUUAUUCCUGUUUACAGUUUAUCUCUAUCUAUAAUAAUAUUCAAG
rnacentral:lncRNA from 1 species